AAAUUGAAGAGUUUGAUCAUGGCUCAGAUUGAACGCUGGCGGCAGGCCUAACACAUGCAAGUCGAACGGUAACAGGAAACAGCUUGCUGUUUCGCUGACGAGUGGCGGACGGGUGAGUAAUGUCUGGGAAACUGCCUGAUGGAGGGGGAUAACUACUGGAAACGGUAGCUAAUACCGCAUAACGUCGCAAGACCAAAGAGGGGGACCUUCGGGCCUCUUACCAUCGGAUGUGCCCAGAUGGGAUUAGCUAGUAGGUGGGGUAACGGCUCACCUAGGCGACGAUCCCUAGCUGGUCUGAGAGGAUGACCAGCCACACUGGAACUGAGACACGGUCCAGACUCCUACGGGAGGCAGCAGUGGGGAAUAUUGCACAAUGGGCGCAAGCCUGAUGCAGCCAUGCCGCGUGUAUGAAGAAGGCCUUCGGGUUGUAAAGUACUUUCAGCGGGGAGGAAGGGAGUAAAGUUAAUACCUUUGCUCAUUGACGUUACCCGCAGAAGAAGCACCGGCUAACUCCGUGCCAGCAGCCGCGGUAAUACGGAGGGUGCAAGCGUUAAUCGGAAUUACUGGGCGUAAAGCGCACGCAGGCGGUUUGUUAAGUCAGAUGUGAAAUCCCCGGGCUCAACCUGGGAACUGCAUCUGAUACUGGCAAGCUUGAGUCUCGUAGAGGGGGGUAGAAUUCCAGGUGUAGCGGUGAAAUGCGUAGAGAUCUGGAGGAAUACCGGUGGCGAAGGCGGCCCCCUGGACGAAGACUGACGCUCAGGUGCGAAAGCGUGGGGAGCAAACAGGAUUAGAUACCCUGGUAGUCCACGCCGUAAACGAUGUCGACUUGGAGGUUGUGCCCUUGAGGCGUGGCUUCCGGAGCUAACGCGUUAAGUCGACCGCCUGGGGAGUACGGCCGCAAGGUUAAAACUCAAAUGAAUUGACGGGGGCCCGCACAAGCGGUGGAGCAUGUGGUUUAAUUCGAUGCAACGCGAAGAACCUUACCUGGUCUUGACAUCCACGGAAGUUUUCAGAGAUGAGAAUGUGCCUUCGGGAACCGUGAGACAGGUGCUGCAUGGCUGUCGUCAGCUCGUGUUGUGAAAUGUUGGGUUAAGUCCCGCAACGAGCGCAACCCUUAUCCUUUGUUGCCAGCGGUCCGGCCGGGAACUCAAAGGAGACUGCCAGUGAUAAACUGGAGGAAGGUGGGGAUGACGUCAAGUCAUCAUGGCCCUUACGACCAGGGCUACACACGUGCUACAAUGGCGCAUACAAAGAGAAGCGACCUCGCGAGAGCAAGCGGACCUCAUAAAGUGCGUCGUAGUCCGGAUUGGAGUCUGCAACUCGACUCCAUGAAGUCGGAAUCGCUAGUAAUCGUGGAUCAGAAUGCCACGGUGAAUACGUUCCCGGGCCUUGUACACACCGCCCGUCACACCAUGGGAGUGGGUUGCAAAAGAAGUAGGUAGCUUAACCUUCGGGAGGGCGCUUACCACUUUGUGAUUCAUGACUGGGGUGAAGUCGUAACAAGGUAACCGUAGGGGAACCUGCGGUUGGAUCACCUCCUUA
rnacentral:rRNA from 1 species